rnacentral:rRNA from 1 species
GACGAACGCUGGCGGCGUGCUUAACACAUGCCAGUCGAACGGCAAGGCCCUGCUUUUGUGGGGUGCUCGAGUGGCGAACGGGUGAGUAACACGUGAGUAACCUGCCCUUGACUUUGGGAUAACUUCAGGAAACUGGGGCUAAUACCGGAUAGGAGCUCCUGCUGCAUGGUGGGGGUUGGAACGUUUCGGCGGUUGGGGAUGGACUCGCGGCUUAUCAGCUUGUUGGUGGGGUAGUGGCUUACCAAGGCUUUGACGGGUAGCCGGCCUGAGAGGGUGACCGGCCACAUUGGGACUGAGAUACGGCCCAGACUCCUACGGGAGGCAGCAGUGGGGAAUAUUGCACAAUGGGCGGAAGCCUGAUGCAGCAACGCCGCGUGCGGGAUGACGGCCUUCGGGUUGUAAACCGCUUUCGCCUGUGACGAAGCGUGAGUGACGGUAAUGGGUAAAGAAGCACCGGCUAACUACGUG